AUUGAACGCUGGCGGCAUGCCUUACACAUGCAAGUCGAACGGCAUCGCGGGAAAGCUUGCUUUCCUGGCGGCGAGUGGCGAACGGGUGAGUAACACAUCGGAACGUACCGGCUAGUGGGGGAUAACCCGUCGAAAGACGGGCUAAUACCGCAUACGCUCUUCGGAGGAAAGCAGGGGACCUUUGGGCCUUGCGCUAGCCGAGCGGCCGAUGUCCGAUUAGCUAGUUGGUGGGGUAAAGGCCUGCCAAGGCGACGAUCGGUAGCGGGUCUGAGAGGACGAUCCGCCACACUGGGACUGAGACACGGCCCAGACUCCUACGGGAGGCAGCAGUGGGGAAUCUUGGACAAUGGGGGCAACCCUGAUCCAGCAAUGCCGCGUGGGUGAAGAAGGCCUUCGGGUUGUAAAGCCCUUUCGGCAGGGAAGAAAUCGGCGGGGCGAAUAACCCUGCUGGAUGACGGUACCUGCAGAAGAAGCACCGGCUAACUACGUG
rnacentral:rRNA from 1 species